GUCUUCUUGUAUUAUUUAAGAGGUCUGGCCUGCCCAGUGAAAUUUUUAACGGCCGCGGUAUUUUGACCGUGCAAAGGUAGCAUAAUCAUUAGUCUUUUAAUAGGAGGCUGGAAUGAAUGGUUUGACGAAGUGGUGACUGUCUCAUAUAAAUAAAAUUGUAAUUUAACUUUUGAGUUAAAAGGCUCAAAUGAUGUUGGAAGACGAGAAGACCCUAUAGAGCUUUAUAAUUGAAUAUUUAAUUUUUGGUAGUUGAUUAGUCAUUAUUAGGUAUUUAAUUAUUUUGUUGGGGUGGCAGAAGAUGUAAUUUUAACUUUUUUAUUAAUUAUACAUUGAUUUAUGGAUGUGAGAUCUAUUACUAUUGAUCGUUAGAUUAAGUUACCUUAGGGAUAACAGCGUAAUCUUCUUUUGGAGUUCAAAUUUACAAGAAGGCUUGCGACCUCGAUGUUGGAUUAAGAUAAUAGCUGGGCGCAGUAGCUUAGUUUAUGGGUCUGUUCGACCCUUGAAUUCUUACAUGAUCUGAGUUCAGACCGG
rnacentral:rRNA from 1 species